AUAGUUUUAUACAUGAUGAAAUAUAUUAAGAUUUAUAGUUUUCAUCUUGUUUCAUGGUAUUAGAGCCAAGGUUUUCUUGAUGAGUCUCACAAACGGUGAUUGGCAACAUCCGCCAGCAAGUCUUUGAGUUCUAGGGCUGCCCCAUGUUCUUUGUGAAGCUAAAUCAUCUGUUCCUGCCGUUGUCACGCCAUGUUCCUGCCGUCAUCUUGCUGAUGUUCCGCCAUUUUUUUGUUCUCAACAAGUUGCUGCUGUCUUGCCAUCGUCUUGCCAUUGCCCAGCCAUCGCACCUUUGCUUUGUGCAAAGUUCCAACUUCCAACACUCAUAGAGGGAAGAAACUCUCUUUCCUCCUUUAUUUUCUUUGUGUUGUCUUUAUUACCCUCCAUUAUAACCUACUCCACAAGCACUAUUCUCACAUCAUUAUUGUCAAGAAACCCAAACAUUUCUCUCUCACUUCUCUCUUUGGUUCUACGGACUUCCCCCUUCCCACUCUUUUUAAUAUAUUAUUCUUUAACUUUUCUCUUUCUUCAUCCACCACCAACCUUGCCCCCCUUGAAAUUCUUUUCUAUUGUCUUUUGUCUCUUUAAAUAAAUAAAAAAAAAAAGUCAAGUGUUAUUGUUUCAUCACUUUACAUAUGGCAAUUGCCGAUGUCACUCAACCCAUCCGUUUGGUUUUGGAAGGAACAGUCAACGAUGUCCCUUGGGCUCAAGCUAUGACUAGCUUUCUAAAAGGUCGAACGCUUCGGCGCUACAUCACUGGCUGGAGACAAGGCUGUACCCACAAAGAAAGCCACUGAAGAUACUGAUGCCUUUGAGAAACGUUUAGACGAAUGGGAUAGCAACAAUCACAAGAUUAUAUCUUGGAUCACCAAUACCACUAUCACCUCCAUUGGUGUUCUUCUUGGGAAGUAUACCACGGCAAAGGAAGUUUGGGAAUUUCUUGAACACGGGUACAUUCCUUCCGAUCUCUCUCGUCACUAUCAACUUCUUCUUCAACUUCAUAAUCUGAAACUCAAGAAAGAAGAAUGCAACAUCUACAUGUUUUCACUGCCAUCGUUUCGGACAGAUUAAGACUUUCUGUCCUGCUCUAAAAGGCACUGCUCAGAAUCCUCGGAAUUCUAAUCAACCUAAUCGUACAGCUGCUGCUGUCACACUUAGAAAAAAAAAGAGGAUGAAUCUUCCUCUUCCCCACCUGCUAGCUACUCUGCAGCUGACGUUCAGGCGAUGCUCAACCAAGUUCUCUCUCUGUCUGGUACACCCUCCUUUGUCACUGCUCUCACUGUCACGUCAGGUAACUCCUCUUGAUUCUUUGAUUCUGGGGCUUGCAACCAUUUGACUCCUGACUCUUCAAUAUUUAGUUCAAAAUCUUGUUCUCCUGCUUUACCCACGACUCACACUGCCAAUGGGUCCUCUCUCCACAUUAGUCACACUGGACAUGUUUCCACACCUCAUUUGUCUGUUCCUGCUGUCUAUCUUGUACCUCAUUUAACUCUUAAUAUACUCUCUGUUGGUCAAUUAUGUGAUCUUGGUUAUAACAUUUUCUUUUCUCAUUCUGGUUGUGUUGUGCAGGAUCCACAGACGGGGCAAACCAUUGGGACCCGCUCCUACUCCUGAUGUCUUAUCUUGCACUCUUGCAAAACAACAUGCUCUACCAUUUAAUAUAAGCACUUCAGUUUCCUCUUCUCCUUUUGAUUUAAUUCAUUCUGAUAUUUGGGGUCCCUCUCCUACUCCUACUAAAGGAGGCUCACGGUAUUUUGCUAUUUUUAUUGGUGACUAUUCUCGUUUUACAUGGAUUCAUCUAUUCUACUCUGAGCUCCUGUCCAUCUACCAAAACUUUGUCCGUAUGAUUUUAACCCAAUUCUCCAAGCAUAAUAAAGUUUUUUGCUCUGAUUCUGCUGGAGAAUACACAUCAAAAUCAUUUUGUUCAUUUCUUCAACAAAAUGGUACUCUUAGCCAACUUUCCUGUCCAGAUACGUCUCAACAAAAUAGUGUCGACGAGCAUAAACAUCGUCACAUCUUAGACACCACUCGUGCAUCAAUUCUCCGUGUUUUUGGUUGUCUUUGUUUCGUUCUUCUCCCUGACAAAGAAUAUAAUAAACCCUGUCCUCGCUCUGCCCAAUGUUGUUUUCUCAGUUAUGGCAUCGAACAUAAGGGAUAUCGGUUCUAUGAUCCAUGAUCCAAUUGCUCGUCGUCUCCACAUAUCUCGUCAUGUGGUUUUUUGAGAAAACACAUUAUUUUCUAGUGUCUCUUCUCUCUCCUCUGUACCUUCUGAAUUCCUCCCCGAUCCCAUUCCAGACAUUUUUCCUUCUCCACCAACACCUGACUCUGCUCCUCAGGCUCCUCAGCCAGCUCCAAACCUUCCCACCGCCCUUCCUCCUCCAUCAACAACACCGAUUCUAACUCCUUACGACCCCCCAAUGAUCUAGACCUCUCUGUGGAUUCUCCUGCCGGCACCUCUUGUCAAUAUCCUGACCGAGUAAGAGAACAAUCUGUUCAUCUUCGAGAUUUUCAAUGUUAUUUCUCUGUACUUGCUUCUUUAUAUGAACCGGCUUCCUACCGUGAGGUCUCCUCUGACCCUCUUUGGCAGAAGCAAUGACAGAAGAUCUUGAUGCUCUCCACAAGGCUUCUACUUGGGAUCUGGUUGAUUUUCCUCCUAGUAAAACUGUGUACAAGAUAAAAACUCGGUCUGAUGGUUCAAUUGAGAGGUAUAAGGCUCGCCUAGUUGCAAAAGGAUACAAUUAGGAGUAUGGUAUCGACUAUGAAGAGACAUUUGCUCCUGUUGCCCGCUUAACCUCUGUUCGCACCUUGAUCGCUGUGGCAGCUGUUCGUAAAUGGUCUCUCUUUCAGAUGGAUGUAAAAAAUGCAUUUUUAAAUGGCGAUCUCCAUGAUGAAGUCUUUAUGAAACCACCUCCAGGAUAUUCUCAUCCACCUCAUAUGGUCUAUCGUCUCCGUCGUGAUUUAUACAGACUUAAACAAGUUCACUUCUACUAUCUCUACAUUUGGAUUUUCCCCAAGCCCACAUGACAAUGCACUCUUCGUUCAUUAGGCUACCUCUGGAACUAUACUUUUACUUUUUCAUGUGGAUGAUAUGCUUAUUACAGGGGAUGACAUUACAGGAAUAUAGUCUUUAAAACUCUUUCUAAGCCAGCAUUUUGAGAUGAAAGAUCUUGGAUCUUUAUGGUACUUUCUUGAUCUUGAAGUUUCCUCUGCUACAGAUGGUUAUUUUUUGUCUCAGGCCAAGUAUGCUUCUGACUUACAAUCACGAGUAGGACUGACUGAUAACAAAACUACUGAUACGCCUCUAGAACUCAAUACCAAGUUGCGAGCCACUGAUGGGGAACCUCUAUCUAAUGUUACCCUUUAUCGCCAGCUUGUCGGUAGUCUUUUUUACUUGACCAUCACCCACCCUGAUAUUGCCUAUGUUUUUCAUCUUGUCAGCCAGUGUAUGACAUCUCCACGCACCACACAUUAUGCUGUAGUUCUUCGCAUCCUCCGCUACAUAAAGGGCACUCUCCUCCAAGGCUUAUUGUAUUCUUCUCACUCUUCUCUUGAAUUGAGAGUCUACUUUGAUGC